CCUCGGGUGGCUGCAGGCGCGAAAACUUUGCAAUGCGAGAAAUCGUGACAAGGGAACUCCGAGUGCCUGUAAAAUCAGGCUGUCCGCCAGUGUAAAUAACUGGCGAAGAAAGGGCCGGGCAAGACCGGUGCCAGCCGCCGCGGUAAUACCGGCGGCUCGAGUGGUGGCCACUAUUACUGGGCUUAGAGCGUUCGUCGCUGGCUUGUUAAGUCUCUGGGGAAAUCUUCCGGCUUAACCGGAAGGCGUCUCAGGGAUACUGGCAGGCUAGGGCCCGGAAGAGGUGAGAGGUACUCCAGGGGUAGGAGUGAAAUCCUGGAAGCCUUGGGGGACCACCUGUGGCGAAGGCGUCUCACCAGGACGGCUCCGACAGUGAGGAACGAAAGCUGGGGGAGCAAACC
rnacentral:rRNA from 1 species